CUGUCUCUCCCAGACAGAGGGGGACCUUGAGUUACCGCAGACUGCCGAGUAAGCACCGAGCAGUCUGACUGUACACUACUGCAGAUGUAAUGGGGGGCCUGGCCCCGAGCCAACAGCUAGCUAGUUAGUUAAAGACGGUGGCAGUUGGGUCAACGCAGCCGUGUAUGGGGUUCUGUCCCCGCAAGGCUGCUUGCCGUUUUUACUAGCUACACAUAUUCAACAUUGGGCCAGUAAAAUUGAAACUUCAUCAGCGCCAGCUAGCCUCCCCACCGCUAGCUGGCUAGCGAACUAAUGGAAAUUACUUUAGUAUAAUGGGGCUUCAAUCUUCCCACACUUGCCCUGAUGCCAGACUGACUAUGCAGUAGAAAUGCGGCUCUUGCAGAUAAUCAAGGUACCAGUUUAACCCUCAGACUGAAAUUAACAGGCUAUGAUGGCUCCCCUGAGAAAAGACUGCAGGUCACUGUCGGUCGGACCAAAGGGGAGCAGCAACAAAACAACUCACCAGUCCUUCCCUUCGCUCCUUCCUGGGAAAAACAAACACUGUCAUCAUAAAGAACAAAUGAGAGAAAAAAAAUAUGUAUUUUAAUUUCUGAUUUUUGUAAUCAUGUCUAACCUUUUUUGGGGGGAAGGGAAAGGGGUCGGGUGGGGGGGUGUAGAUGACAUCAUGAUGACUCUGAAGUUUCAUAACUUCUCUGUCUAUUUUUGUGAUUUAUUAACACAUUAGAUAGAUGUACAGUAACUUGUUAGGGACUCUAAGCCUUGAUGAUAUGUUUGUUUUCAGGAAGGAGAGGAAAAGCCGAAUGACACAAAGCAAUGUAAUAACACAGUCUCCAACAGCAGUGACCUAGCCUGAUCCCAGGUCUGUUUGUGCUGUCUUCCAUGGCUUUGGUGACUGCACAAACAGAUCUGGGACCAGGCUAGCAGAGACCCACGUCUACGUUUACGAAUUCUACAGGUGGCCCCUUGUGGGCUGAGUACAGUAACUGACAGGCAGCAGCAUGUCAUCCACUCUGCCACAGAACAAAACACAGUUCAAACAGCAGCAUUAUCCUUCUAUUUAUGUUUUAACACUCACUCAGUGCUCUCUGCAUUGUUCACACGCUCAACUGCAGUAUGUGAUCGCUCCUUAACACAGUAUUAAGCUAGGCCUAGACCUGUAUCAUUAUCUCUACAAAACACACUCUUCAACGUCUUUUGAAGGGAGUGGUUGCACCUCGAAGCGUAACCAUUCAAACGUUGGGUUCACGAUUUUACUUUUUAACAGUCCUAAUUGCUCUGCUCUUCAGGUGAUCCACACCCUUCAGCUCUCAAAUUCUUCUCUCAUUCUCAAAACUCUUAAUAUUUACACACUCUACAGUAUUUACUGAGGCUAAGAGUCCCCCCUUUUUCCAUGUUAGCUAGUAAAUGCUUGGUAGUGUGUUUUUGUAUUUGAAACGUUUAUGGUUUUAAGUAGGUUUGCUUUUUUAAAGUUUUAGAUUGUUUGUUGCUAGUAUAAAACCAUGUGUAGACAGUUAAUGUACGCUGUGAUGUAGCCUAUAGAAGUAGCUAUAGUAGAAAUGCAUUGUUCCCUUGUGGUAAGUGAGUGAGAUGCUGCCACGGAACUGAGACACUGAUGAUUGGUGCUAUUUUGGACUUUAAUCUGCUCCUUGGAAAGGUAGCCGAGAUGGGUUUUCUUGUUUUACUUUCACAUUCUGAGUAAAGAAGGUGUUGGUUCUUUGUUGUCAUGGUUGUUGUAACUUGGUCUGGAUUGGCUUAGUUUUUCACUGUUUUCUGUGUGGCUUUCUCAUUGGAUUUAAGAUUUGAGGACAUAUAAACUUUUAUCAUGGUCAAUGUUUUACUGAAGGAAAAGAGGAUUCAUGUGAGAAGAUUUGAGGAUACACCAUGUUGAUGGGAGCAAUCACAAAACUGCAAUUGUUAAAAACACUAGUUACCCUUUAAUACUGACAUGUGCAUUCAAAGGUAUACAAUGUAUCUAGUAGUACCCAGCACUGGUCACUUUUAGAAAAUGUUAAGCUUUUUUGAGUUGGUGUGUUUUGAUUGACAGACAAUCUCGAAACCAAGAGUGCAGUUCCGCCCCUAGCAUGUUUGUGUGUAACGGAGAUCUCCUAAGAGAUUUUGCACACAUACGAGUGAGUUAUGAAUUUGUCACAUGGAAACGUAUAGAAGAAGCCACAGCAUAACGCAAUGUUAAUGUCUGAUAUCUGCUUCAAGUUGAUUAGAAUAAGUAAACAGUAAAAUGAAGGUUAUUUUUUUUGAAAAGUCAUGCUUUUCAAAAAUGGCACUUGAGAGAACUUGAUAGAGUUAAACGCUAAAAGGAAUGAACACACUCAAUGUGUUUUAAGGCCCAGCCUGUUUGGGUUCGGGUUCAGGGUUUCAACUUUUCCUCAUCUCCUUCACCAGCUAGAUAUGACUCAAUCCUAUAGACAGUCAUGUGUGACUUAAUGUUAACGUGAGACUGGAAUCACAUGAUGCAUAUAAUCUUGUUUAAAAAAAAUUUAAUACAAUUUUCCAAAUGGUGCACAUGUAGCAUAAAGUUAGAAUAGAACAAUCUUUUUAAUUUAUGUAUUUUCUGAAUGAUUUUGUAAAUUGAUGUUGAUGAGAAGCUUACUUUGUUAUAAAACAGACAAACUAAAACCAAAAAGCUUUUUAUUGUUUUUAGCUAUAGAUUUAAAACAUCAAAGUAUUGUCAGUAUUUGCAGUUUUGUCUUUGCUUCCCUGUUAAUUUAUUUUGUUAAAGAUUCUAAUAUUAAUAUGAUAAUAACCAACUUGAAAGCCCAUGUUAUUAUUCUUUUGUCUUCCAUUCUCCCUCGAUUCUGGGAACCUUUUUGUACCAGCAUGUUCUAGUGUUAUUGAUCGCUUGCUCUCUUCCUCAUUGAGUUGAUUUGUUACACAUUUUUCCUCUUGCAGUUCUUUCCUUUCAGACUAGUUAAUAUGAAAGCUAUUUUGUACAUAGCAAAGUGAAUAGCAUAUGCAGGAUGUGCUGUAGUGUGUUGAGUCAGGUAUUCAGUAAUUACCACUGUAUAUGGUUGGAGAAAAAAACACGAUAUGCCAGCUUUGCAAAAUUAUUACAACGAUGCACUUAACUUACAGUAUCCCAUGUACUUUUUUUUUUGGCAAUUUUAAAAGUAGUGCAAUAAAUAUGCAAGCUUGUAAA